AGAGUUUGAUCCUGGCUCAGGAUGAACGCUAGCGGCGUGCCUAAUGCAUGCAAGUCGAACGGGAACCUUUGGAUUCGUCUUAAGGUGAGAGUGGCGAACGGGUGAGUAACACGUUGGUGACCUGCCCCAGAGAGGGGGUUAACCAUUGGAAACGAUGGCUAAUACCCCGGAUGUCCCUAUUGUUAGAGAGUAGUGACUAAAGCUCCGGCGCUCUGGGAGGGGCCUGCGGCCCAUCAGCUUGUUGGUAGGGUAACGGCCUACCAAGGCUAAGACGGGUAGGGGACGUGAGAGCGUGACCCCCCACACUGGUACUGAUACACGGACCAGAUACCUACGGGUAGCAGCAGCAAGGAAUAUUGCCCAAUGGACGAAAGUCUGAGGCAGCAACGCCGCGUGGAGGAUGAAGGCCUUCGGGUUGUAAACUCCUUUUCUGGGGGAAGAGAAAGGACGGUACCCCAGGAAUAAGUCUCGGCUAACUACGUGCCAGCAGCCGCGGUAAAACGUAGGAGGCGAGCGUUAUCCGGAUUUACUGGGCGUAAAGCGCGUGCAGGCGGUCCCUUAAGUCGGACGUGAAAGCUCCUGGCUCAACUAGGAGAGGUCGUUCGAAACUAGGGGACUUGAGGAUGGUAGAGGAGAGUGGAAUUCCCGGUGUAGUGGUGAAAUGCGUAGAUAUCGGGAGGAACACCAGUGGCGAAGGCGGCUCUCUGGGCUAUUCCUGACGCUAAGACGCGAAAGCUAGGGGAGAGAACGGGAUUAGAAACCCCGGUAUUCCUAGCCGUAAACGAUGU
rnacentral:rRNA from 1 species